UGAAAUAGUUUAAUUUAGGUGAAGAGAGAGAAAAUUAAUAAGAAAUAUUGACGUUGUGGUAGAAAAGCUUAUUUACAAUAAGAACAAAAGGCAGAAAAAUCGAAAAUGAAAAGAUAAAAAAGAAAUUUAAUGAUAUUGAUGGCUUGGAAAAUAAAGUACCGUAAUUGAUUUUCUGUUGACAAGCAUCUAAAAUCAAGGAUAAUUGGCUUUCUGUUAAUAAAUAUCUAAAAUUAAGGAAAUUAGCCUAUGUGAGAGUAUUAGUCGCUGAGCAGAUCUUUUCUCAUUAAAUAGAAACUAAAAAUAGAUUGGGGGAAGAACAACAAAAUUCAUCGGUCUAAAAGAAGUGUCAUGCAAAAUUCAUCACUCCACAACCCAUUUAUUUCUCUCCCUCUCUUCUCCCACCUACCACAUUCUCUUAUUCCACUCCACCUAACACAUUACAUUUCAUUCCAUAUAUACAUAACUCUAAAGAAAUUUAAAGGAUUCAUCUUCUCUCCUCUUCUAUUCCUCUUUUUUAUUAAUUCGAAGAGAAAAGAGAAGCAAAUUCCGUCGUCCUUUAUUAAUUCCACCGAUAUCUCAUGGAGGAGGAAACGACAAAGGAACUACAACUAGGUCAAUCUAUUUCCUCAAUAAAUCCACUACGUCGGUUUGAGCGGUAUUGGAAAAACUACACACAUCACGUCACACAUAGAGGUGGCCGCUGGAGCAAGGUGGCUGGCAUCCGGCUGGAGGAGGUGGCGUUGGUGUUCCGGCUGGAGGAGGUGACAUUGGUCCGGCCGGUGGCAAACGGAAGAGGGAGGAUGAUGAUGUUGUCGAUGAUGUUUGUAAGAAAUUUAGAUGUUAUUAGUAUGUUAUUGAAUUUUAUAUCACCAUUAGACAUGUCAAAAGGAGUAGAGAUUAUCGGACAAUUCUUGACCCAGCACGAUAUAUACUAGUCGUUAGAUAUCGAAUACCCUUAAAAAUUGGGUUAUUUGUCGAAUGAUAAGAAUCACGAAAUAUUGUGUAUGAGAUAUACCAAUUCGAUUUAGGUAUAUUUAGUGAUUUACUUUUCAUUCACAAAA